UGAUGGUCUGCCUUGAUGACUUAUGGGGACACCUGUCGGGGGUUCUGCUAGACAGAAAGAUGCAGGGCGCCCCUCACGCACGCAAACUCUAGCUCUCACACCCAGACGUGCUCCAAACAUUCCAAAGGAGCCAAAAACGACGUCUGGCUUUUCCGCGGCGCCUCCUGGCCCUGGCGGUGACUCCGAGGUGGCGCUUUCAGGGUGGGCGCGAGGGAGAGGAAAGCCCCUGGCAUCCUCACCCCCAGGGCCAGAGGGACAGCGGGUGCCCUCCGCCCCGAGUCACCUGCGUCUUGAAUUCUGGCCCUCCAAGGAGAGGGCAAUGCCUGAGCCCACGGAAGUUGGGUCAGGGGCAGCAUUGGAAGUCAGAGCCUGCAAUGCUCACGUAAAUGCAAAAGAUGGUUCCUUCAGUGCCAGUAAGAAGGGUGUCUUGAACAUGAGGAAUACAGCAGCAAGCAAGACAGAGAGGUGCCUGCUUUCUGGGGAGACAACAAACAGAUAAAUAAGCACGACACUGUCCUGCCAAGCUAAGUGACAUCAAUGAAACAAGGCAAGGUAAUAAGAAGAGGCUGGGAAAAGGCUUAGCUGUGAUUUUGCUUUCUGCAGUUUGAGUUGCCUAUGUUCAACCGAGGUUCAAAAAUAUUAAAUGGAACAUUUCAGAAAUGAACAAUCCUAAGUUUAAAUUGCAUGCCAUUCUGAGCAGCGUGAUGAUAUCUUGCGCCAUCUCUCCCAGUCCUGCCCCGGGGAUGAAUCAUCCCUUUGUCCAGCCUGUCCACACUGUACAUGCUCCAGGCCCGUUAGUUACUUAGUAGCCAUCUCAGUUUUUCGGAUGACGUCGAGGCAUGGCAGGGUUUGUGUUCAAAGUCACCCUUAUUUUACUUAACAAUAGCUUCAAAUCACAAGCAUAGUGAUGCUGGCAAUUUGGAUAUGCCAAAGAGAAGCUACAAGGUGCUUUAAGGGGAAAAGUGAAAGUUGUGGACUUAAUUAGCAACCUUAGCUGAGGUUGCUAAGAUCUGUGAUAACAAGGAAGCUUUGAUUCAUGAAAUUGUGAAGAUGGAAAAAAGAAAUAUAUGCUAGUUUUGCUGUCACACCUCGGACUGCAAAGUAAUGGCCAUGGUGCGUGAUAAGAGCUUAGUUAAGAUGGAAAAGGCAUUAAUUCUGUGGAUAAAAACAUGAAGAGAAAUGUGUUCUGAUUGAUGGCAAUAAGGAUCAGUAUUAUCCGUGGUCCCAGGCAUGCAUUGGAGGUGUUGGAAUGUAUCCCCCAUGGAUAAGGAGAGACUAUUGUAUCCUUGAUUGGGGCAUUGCUACAUGGAUGUAUACAUUUGGCCCAACUCUCCAAACUGAACACUUAAGAUAGGUGUGUUUCAUUGUACGCACAUUUUUCAACAAAAAUCUUUUCUAUAUAAGAAGAAUAGCUGGGAAAGGAAGACAUUAACUAGGGUGAUCAGGAUGGUCUCUUUGCAAAGGGGACAUUUGAGCUGAGACCUGAAAAGUGAGAAUGAACUAGAAGGAGUUAGCCACGCCAGGAUCUUGUCUCUUCCUACCAAGAUGCUGCAGGCAGAGGAAACGCUGCAUUGGAAGGGCCCCCGGUACCUUGGAGUUGACAGCCAUGUGCUCAGAGGAGAAUGAAGCAAACCAAGCAAAAGCCAACCCCAAACACCCAAUGGCCUGAGCUCCUCAGAGCAAGAAAAGUCAAGUUGAAUAUCUCAGAUGGGGCCGUCAGAGAAUGGAGAUGACCUCAUCCACAGUGGGACAAGUUGGAGCAAAUCACUUGGGUGGAAAGCAAGGAAAUAGAGGGGCAAUUUCAGCAUGUCCCUCAGGCUUCCACAGAGGAAGGUUUGGCCUUCCAAA
rnacentral:lncRNA from 1 species